rnacentral:pre_miRNA from 1 species
UGGAUAGAUUAUUGUAUUCGACUGUAUUCACGGCGUGAAACAGGGGAUUACACUAUUUUUAAAUGAAAAGUGAAUCAAUUAUCAUAAUCGACUCCU